AGCAGACACACGUGUUCGCACCUUUGCACGCUCUUUUCAACUCAACGACGAUUGAGACGUUUGUCCAAAGGAAGCUUCCGAAGUCGAAAAAGCACAAAAUCAUUGGCUGACUAAAGAUUCUCUGUUAUCGAAUAUUCGAAUCUUUAUUAGAAAUUAAGCAAGAAUGAUUUUUCGUCUGAACGUUUGUCUGUUGUUGAUCUUUGUGACAGGCGUUGCUGUUGGUGCUCGUCAUGAACAAGAUACGCACGCCUCGCAAGAGGCAGUGUUGAAUCUGUGUCUUGUGAACGAUGGAACUUGUGUGUCACCACAUGUCUUCUGUGCUGAACAUUUGGAGGAAUUUGAUGAAUAUUGUCCGGGUGAUGAAAAAUGCUGCCAAUAAAUCGACGGUUAAGUUGGAAAAGGCAAGGCAUUUUCGGUGAAUUUGUGUUACGCAUUGGCUGACCUCCAUCAGCUAUUGAUCGUUGACUUCAGAACUGACUUUAUCAAUUUAUGGUAGUGAAGUGUGGCUAUUGAAUAUUAUCAUCUACUAUAUAUACUCACUCUAUGCUUUUUAUUUUUUAGCCGCUAU